AAGUCGUAACAAGGUUUCCGUAGGUGAACCUGCGGAAGGAUCAUUAAAGUAAUAAGUACUCUCUGUACUCAUUAUCAACCCAUCUGUGUAUUUCACCCGUUGCUUCCGCGGUUGACCCCGCGGGAGGUAUACAUCAAACCAUUGCAUUAUCAUGUUCUCAGUCUGAAAUGUAUAUAACAAAUGUUAAAA
rnacentral:misc_RNA from 1 species